AUGAAUCGAAAAAUCACUCUUUAUUGGUUCUACCUCCUCUUUUUUAUGAAGAGAAUGAAUCUUUUUAUCGAAGGAUCAUAA
rnacentral:tRNA from 1 species